AUUGAACGCUGGCGGCAGGCCUAACACAUGCAAGUCGACCGAGUGGCGGACUGGUGAGUAAUGUCUGGGAAAAUGCCUGAUGGAGGGGGAUAACUACUGGAAACGGUAGCUAAUACCGCAUACCAUCAGAUGUGCCCAGCUGGGAUUAGCUUGUUGGUGGGGUAACGGCUCACCAAGGCGACGAGCCCUAGAUGGUCUGAGAGGAUGACCAGCCACACGGGAACUGAGACACGGUCCAGACUCCGACGGGAGGCAGAAGGGGGGAAUAUUGCACAAGGGGCGCAAGCCUGAUGCAGCCAUGCCGCGUGUAUGAAGAAGGCCUUCGGGUUGGAAAGUACUUUCAGCGGGGAGGCGUUACCCGCAGAAGAAGCACCGGCUAACUCCGUGCCAGCAGCCGCGGUAAUAC
rnacentral:rRNA from 1 species